CGUCAACAAGCAAAAAUCUCCACAUGCUUAAAACUUAUCGGUAGGAUUUCGGCCUAAUUAUUUUCUCAGAUUCUAACAUUUCAUGUCCACAGCCUCUCCGCCACAUGGGAGCCAAACAUGUUGUAAUCAACACAGAUUGAGCCCAACAUAUUCUCAAAAUUGUACCAUAUUUAGCAAAAAAUUGUGUAUAUAGCUACUUAUCUAAACCAAAAGCUAUCACGAAGAAGAAGCUGUGCACAAAGGAGAUUCCAUCUUAUCUUGUGUAAGUAAUGGACAAAGGAAGAAGAUUCCUCUUGUUCCUAGAUAAAUUUGGAAGAGUUUCGGGAGAGUUUCUCCUUAGCCUAUAAAUAUGUGUGUAUCCUUUGUAAGAACUCAGACUUGAAUGGAAAUCAGUUCUUUGUAUUAACGUUUCUUGUUAAUCCUUGUUUGAGUCAUCUUUGCAGCGGUGACGCUUAGUGUGAUCAUCUGUGCUUUCAACUAUGUCUUGGGGUAAAAUUCCUUACCCUCUGUUAGUGCAUAAGUGUUUUGCAAAAAAUGAAUAUUGGUCUCUACAAAUUUAAAAGCCUUGAUUAAAUUUGAGCCCUUGGAUCAUAGUCCACGUGUGCAUUUCAGAUUCAUUUAGUUAAGUGAUUGUUUUUUCUACAUAUAACUAUCUUAUAGGAUAGAUUGCUUGAAUUGUUGGAUUUACUUUGAUGUAAGAGAGAAACUCUCAUCUCUUUCCUCUCUCUUUGUAACGGUUAUAUGCUCAUUACACUUAGUGUGUGAGCUGUCAAUGGAAUCCAAGUAUUGUUAGCACCUUCCUUUUCUCUCUGUCAUUUUCGAGCAACCUGCAAAUCUGCAGGACUCAUUCUCACGGCCUCCAUUGAUAAACACUCAAGCUAAAACAUACUCACUUUGUAUAACAAUUGAAAAAAAUUAAUAUCUUGCUUCGCUUCUGGAUCCUUCUCUCCUCCUUGGUCACUCCAGACAUGCGGGAAUAAUUGUAUUCUCCGAUUGCAAAACAUGGUUUUCCGUUACUCUCAUACAUUUUGAGAAGGGAAUGCUGUUGCUGACAAAUUAGCCAAUUUAGAGCUUCUCUCAUCUUCACUUGUUUGGCAUUCUGCUCCUCCUAUAGAGAUUCUUCCUCUUCUGCACUCAGAUUUCUUGAGCAUGCCAGCCUACAGCUUGUUUUGCAGGCUCUUACCUUUUAAGGUUUAUAGAGGGGUUUGAGUAUAUGUCCACUCAAUCUUUUUCUUG